rnacentral:rRNA from 1 species
CGGUAAUACGUAGGGUGCGAGCGUUAAUCGGAAUUACUGGGCGUAAAGCGUGCGCAGGCGGUUUUGUAAGUCGGAUGUGAAAUCCCCGGGCUCAACCUGGGAACUGCGUUCGAAACUGCAAGGCUAGAGUGUGUCAGGGGGGGUAGAAUUCCACGUGUAGCAGUGAAAUGCGUAGAGAUGUGGAGGAAUACCAAUGGCGAAGGCAGCCCCCUCGGGAUAACACUGACGCUCAUGCACGAAAGCGUGGGGAGCAAACAGGAUUAGAUACCCUGGUAGUCCACGCCCUAAACGAUGUCAACUAGUUGUUGGUAGAGUAAAAUCUAUGAGUAACGUAGCUAACGCGCGAAGUUGACCGCCUGGGGAGUACGGUCGCAAGAUUAAAACUACAAGGAAUUGACGGGGGCCCGCACAAGCGGUGGAUUAUGUGGAUUAAUUCGAUGCAACGCGAAAAACCUUACCUGGCCUUGACAUGUACCGAAUUGAGCAGAGAUGUUCAAGUGCUCGAAAGAGAAC